rnacentral:rRNA from 1 species
AUGCGAAAUUUUUGGCACCCAACAAAGUAUAGAAGGGAUCCCAAUCUCCCAAAUCACCGUCUCCUCCAAGUGGAUACCCAAAUUGACUCGGCGUGCCCUCGCCGCCGCCGCCCCUGCCCCCAAUCAGAGAUACCCGCGCCGCCACCGCCCCCAACCAUAGAUGCCCGCGCCACCACCGCCCCCAACCAUAGAUGCCCGCGCCGCCGCCGCCCCCAAUCGGAGAUGCCCUCGCCGCCACCGCCACCCCUGUCUAUCACCGCCUAUCACCCAACUAAUACAGAUCUAAGCCGCAGGCACUCCAACGCCGACCACCGUUCUCCGCCCAACGCUCCAUUGGCACCACCCUACUCCGUGAGCCCCCUCCUCCAAGCAGAACUUGACAAACGAGCACCAAGCAGGGCCACCUCCUCUACGUCCUCUACCCAAGCAGCGGAAAUAUGUUCGGUUUACCCUGAACUUGUUUAUGAUGUUAGGGUGCAUCAUUAUCUUGCUACUCUUGUUUACCACUAUAUGUCGGAAACUGAGAAUCAUGAGGCUCUGAUGCUGCUGGAGUGGGGAUUUAUGUUCAAACACACUAAUUCUUGUGGCAUUCCUGAACAAUUUCCGUUGAUCCAAAUUCUCAUCCCUCAUGUUAUGGGCCUCAAAGAGCGGCUGGAAGACUCAUUUAAGAUCCACCAUGCCAAAUAUUUGGUCAUGUUUCUCAAAGAUACACAAGUUGAUGGAGGUUUGGAAUAUCGAGAACUUGCUGGAGGUUUUGAAGAUAUUGGCAAGUUUUACACUGCUCAUUUUGGUGGUCGUUUCAGCACACGAGCCAUUUUUUAA